AUUCCGCUGAAUUGACUAGAUGAACUGAGCUUGCUUUUAUAACCCUAUGUCAAAUUUUAAAGCAUAUAUCAGGUAUGAAAGUUAAAAGAACUUACCUUCGUAAGAUGCAGGCAAAUCAACUUCUGAGUCAUUUACCACCACACUUCCCCGCAGUAGUUGGAUAGUUACAGUUGGGAAAAUCACUGUCAGUGAUUUUGUGCAUGAGAAUACUCCAAAUAAUCCACAAGGUUCAUUCACUUGUCUUAUUUCAAAUGUGUUAUUCACACUGUCUUUAGCCAGAAUAUAUUCACAUCUUCCCAUUAAGUCAUAAUGCGUUCCAUCAAAUGUCGAGUAGUGUGGAUCACUUGUUGCUUGACAUGUGGCUUUAACUG